rnacentral:rRNA from 1 species
GAUGAACGCUGGCGGCGUGCCUAAUACAUGCAAGUAGAACGCUGAAGGAGGAGCUUGCUCUUCUGGAUGAGUUGCGAACGGGUGAGUAACGCGUAGGUAACCUGCCUGGUAGCGGGGGAUAACUAUUGGAAACGAUAGCUAAUACCGCAUGACAACAGUUAUUGCAUGAUAACUGUUUAAAAGGGGCAACUGCUCCACUACCAGAUGGACCUGCGUUGUAUUAGCUAGUUGGUGAGGUAACGGCUCACCAAGGCGACGAUACAUAGCCGACCUGAGAGGGUGAUCGGCCACACUGGGACUGAGACACGGCCCAGACUCCUACGGGAGGCAGCAGUAGGGAAUCUUCGGCAAUGGACGGAAGUCUGACCGAGCAACGCCGCGGGAGUGAAGAAGGUUGUCGGAUCGUAAAGCUCGGUUGUAAGAGAAGAACGAGUGUGAGAGUGGAAAGUUCACACUGUGACGGUAUCUUACCAGAAAGGGACGGCUAACUACGUG